rnacentral:rRNA from 1 species
GCGGCAUGCUUAACACAUGCAAGUCGAACGGUAACGACCUCAUUACCUUCGGGUAACGAGGGGCGACGAGUGGCGGACGGGUGAGUAACGCAUAGGAAUCUGCCCAGUAGUGGGGGACAACUCCGGGAAACCGGAGCUAAUACCGCAUACGCCCUACGGGGGAAAGCGGGGGAUCUUCGGACCUCGCGCUAUUGGAUGAGCCUAUGUCUGAUUAGCUUGUUGGUAGGGUAACGGCCUACCAAGGCAACGAUCAGUAGCUGGUCUGAGAGGAUGAUCAGCCACACUGCGACUGAGACACGGCGCAGACUCCUACGGGAGGCAGCAGUGGGGAAUAUUGCACAAUGGGCGCAAGCCUGAUGCAGCAAUGCCGCGUGUGUGAAGAAGGCCUGCGGGUUGUAAAGCACUUUCAGUAGUGAAGAAAAGCCUGAGGUUAAUACCCUCGAGUCUUGACGUUAGCUACACAAGAAGCACCGGCUAACUCCGUGCCAGCAGCCGCGGUAAUACGGAGGGUGCGAGCGUUAAUCGGAAUUACUGGGCGUAAAGCGCGCGUAGGCGGUUUGGUAAGUCGGAUGUGAAAUCCCCGGGCUUAACCUGGGAAUUGCAUUCGAUACUGCCUGACUAGAAUGUGAUAGAGGUAAGUGGAAUUCCCGGUGUAGCGGUGAAAUGCGUAGAUAUCGGGAGGAACAUCAGUGGCGAAAGCGGCUUACUG